CCCUUAGAUGUCCUGGGCCGCACGCGCGUUACACUGAUGCAUUCAACGAGCUUAUAACCUUGGUUGAAAAGCCUGGGUAAUCUUUUGAACUUUCGUCGUGAUGGGGCUAGACCCUUGCAAUUAUUGGUCUCCAACGAGGAAUUCCUAGUAAACGCAAGUCAUCAGCUUGCAUUGAUUACGUCCCUGCCCUUUGUACACACCGCCCGUCGCACCUACCGAUUGAAUGGUCCGGUGAAAUCUUCGGAUUGAGACUUUGAUUUCUUCACGGAAAACGCUGUUUUAAAAAGUUGAUUAAACCUUACCAUUUAGAGGAAGGUGAAGUCGUAACA
rnacentral:rRNA from 1 species